AUUGAACGCUGGCGGCAGGCUUAACACAUGCAAGUCGAACGAGUGGCGGACGGGUGAGUAAUGUCUGGGAAACUGCCUGAUAGCGGGGGAUAACUACUGGAAACGGUAGCUAAUACCGCAUACCAUCAGAUGUGCCCAGAUGGGAUUAGCUAGUUGGUGGGGUAAAGGCUCACCAAGGCGACGAUCCGUAGCUGGUCUGAGAGGAUGACCAGCCACACGGGAACUGAGACACGGCCCAGACUCCUACGGGAGGCAGCAGUGGGGAAUAUUGCACAAUGGGCGAAAGCCUGAUGCAGCCAUCCCGCGUGUAUGAAGAAGGCCUUCGGGUUGUAAAGUACUUUCGGCGGAGAGGCGUUACCCGCAGAAGAAGCACCGGCUAACUCCGUGCCAGCAGCCGCGGUAAUAC
rnacentral:rRNA from 1 species